rnacentral:rRNA from 1 species
GUGAGACAGGUGCUGCAUGGCUGUCGUCAGCUCGUGUUGUGAAAUGUUGGGUUAAGUCCCGCAACGAGCGCAACCCUUAUCCUUUGUUGCCAGCGGUCCGGCCGGGAACUCAAAGGAGACUGCCAGUGAUAAACUGGAGGAAGGUGGGGAUGACGUCAAGUCAUCAUGGCCCUUACGACCAGGGCUACACACGUGCUACAAUGGCGCAUACAAAGAGAAGCGAUCUCGCGAGAGCAAGCGGACCUCAUAAAGUGCGUCGUAGUCCGGAUUGGAGUCUGCAACUCGACUCCAUGAAGUCGGAAUCGCUAGUAAUCGUGGAUCAGAAUGCCACGGUGAAUACGUUCCCGGGCCUUGUACACACCGCCCGUCACACCAUGGGAGUGGGUUGCAAAAGAAGUAGGUAGCUUAACCUUCGGGAGGGCGCUUACCACUUUGUGAUUCAUGACUGGGGUGAAGUCGUAACAAGGUAACCGUAGGGGAACCUGCGGUUGGAUCACCUCCUUACCUUAAAGAAGC